rnacentral:rRNA from 1 species
CCUACGGGUGGCAGCAGUGGGGAAUAUUGCACAAUGGGGGAAACCCUGAUGCAGCGACGCCGCGUGAGUGAAGAAGUAAUUCGUUAUGUAAAGCUCUAUCAGCAGGGAAGAAAAUGACGGUACCUGUGUAAGAAGCCCCGGCGAACUAUGUGCCAGCACCCGCGGCAAUAGGUAGGGGGCAAGCGGAAGCCGGAUUUACUGGGGGUAAAGGGAGCGUAGACGGCAGUGCAAGUCUGGGGUGAAAGGCGGGGGCGCAACCCCCGGACGGCGCUGGAAACUGUACGGCUGGAGUGCAGGAGAGGUAAGUGGAAUUCGUGGUGUAGCGGUGAAAUGCGUAGAUAUUAGGAGGAACACCAGUGGCGAAGGCGGCUUACUGGACUGUAACUGACGUUGAGGCUCGAAGGCGUGGGGAGCGAAAAGGAUUAGAUACCCGGGUAGUC